UACAAUGAAGUCAAAUUUGCUAGAUUACAAAUUUCUUGGGGAAUAGGACCUUUUAAUAGAUUAGAACCAAGGCUUAAGUACAGCAUCUUUGAUAAACUACCAAUACAAGAAGGGAUUGAACCAGUCAAUUUGCUUUCGGAGAGGUACUGAUACGAGUCACAAAAGCCCAAAUUCUUGAGGGCAAGGCCCAAUAAGAAGAUUCCAAGCCCAAUCAAGAAAUCCACCCAUACUUAGUUGAAAAUCAGGCCAAAUUGUCAAAGUGGCCCAAGUUGUAAAGUUUUAUUUUUAUUUAUUUAUUUAUUUUACUUAGUUUAAAUGUUUAUCCAAGAGUCCCAAAUAAAAGACCCUUGGCCGAAUUUCCAUAUUAAAAUAAUUAGGAGUUUUUUUUUUUAGUUUUAGUUUUAGUGUUCUAAUUAAAUUAGGAAAACAUUUGAAAGGCCUAUUUAUAUGGCUUGGCCAACCACCCUACAUUACAAUACAAUUACAUUGAAAAUUUCAGAUUUAAUUUGAGUGAAAAUUCUCUUUGAGUUCUUCAAGGAUUUUCUCUUGAGUUUUCUUUAGAAGUUGUUUUAACAAUCUUUUUGAUUGUGGGAGCCAUCUUCAACCUUCUUCUUGCCAUUGAUAUUCUUUGGAGGGGAGAUUAGAGCCGUUUGAAGGGAGUUGUGAGAUCUUUCGAGAUUUCAAGGCUUCUUAGGACUUAUCUUUUAAUUUCUUACUGUCAAUUCUUUCUUUAUUUCUACUUGUGCUGAAUCAUUAUCUAAUCUAUUUUCUGUUCUUAUUGUGUUUUCAGCCUUUUUCUAUCUUAAGGAAUCAGCCCAAAAAUCCCCAAUUUCUAGGGUUUUUCCAUACUCUUUUUGGGUGAAAUUAGAUUGUCGAAAUUUGGGGAAAACUAUCUUGGUGUUCAAUUGGGCAGAAUCACAAUCUCCUUGAGGGUUUCAAGAACCCUAACACUUAUUUCUAUUCUCAAUUUGAUUCUUUGCUGAUUUGGGGAUUUUAUUUCAGAUCUGAAAAUUCAAAAAUCUAAUCUUUUAAUUUUCUGUUUCGUUUCAGAUCUAAUUGUUUAGGGUUUUCGUAGGAGUCUCUCGUGACUUGGCAACUCGAUCUUGGUCCGCGCGCAACCCCGUAUCAUUUGGUAUCAGAUUUUGGGCGUUUUGAGUGUUCUUGGUUGAUUUCUAAACUGAUCUUUAUUUUUUAAAGCAUAAACAGCAGUUUUACCCAGAAAAAAUUGUUCAAAAAAAAAUUCAUUUGAGUGGGUAAACGUUGUCCUAUUGAUCUGAAAUUUUACAUACAUGUUUUUGGCACUGUGAUUGAAUAUAAAAAAAUUAUUCCCGCAAAAAAAUCAGUCAAAAAAGUUAAAAAAAUCAAAAAAUACGAAAUUCAAUAAAAAUUUAAAAAAAGAUUCAGCGGGUUGAAUUUGGUGCCCAAAAUUUCCAGAUCGAAAAUUCAAUAUAUAAGGACACUCCAGAUUUAAUUUCGUGAUUUUUGGAGAUCGGGAACACCUCGAACGAAGUUGUCAAGUUACUCCGCAGUUUUUCGGGUUUUCUGUUUUCAGCAAUUUUUAUUGAUUCUUAGCUGUAGGUUUUCAUUUGUUUGCUUUUUAUUCUCCUUUUACAAUAUCUAACACCUUCUUGUUUCUUGUGUUAGUAGGAUUUAAACGUGUGCACAAUCCUUCCUCGGUGCAACACGAAUCACUUGGUGUCUCGUCAGUUUUUGGCAUCCUAGUGCAAAUUAGGAUUCUUUGGUAGUUUGGUUCACACUCUCUAAUUGGUUGAUAUAAACUCUGAUAAAGAACUCACAAGAUUGAAUUCGACCUCAUUGAGAAUUUAAUUUUUCUUUUUGAGUGAUUAAUGGUGAGGUUUGCUAACUUUUAUUUUUGAGUGUUGAGUGUUUAUUUUUUACAGUUUUGAAGAUGUCUAAAGGUGAUAAUAAUGAUGCACUUAUGAAAGUCCAACAACAGUUAGACGGACAUACUGCUGCAAUCACACAAAUAAAUGCUACACUUCAAGCAUUGAAUACUACUUUGAAUGAGGUACGAGUGAAUCAAAAACAUCAAUAUCGAGAUCCAAUUAAGGAAGAUAGGGAUAACCAGCCCCAUAGGUGCAGCCCUCAACGUGUCCCUAGAAUGGAUGAUGAUUUUCAUGAUCGUGGACAAUCAUCUUUGGCAAAACCAAAGAGCAAGCAGCAACGAGAACAUCUCUUUCAUACUCGCUGCCAUGUACAAGGUAAGCUUUGUAGAGUUAUUAUUGAUUGUGAAAGUUGCUCAAACAUAGCCAGCACGACGAUGGUGGAAAAGCUUUGCUUAACCACUACCAAGCAUCCACAACCUUAUCAACUACAAGGGCUUAGCAACGAAGGCCAAUUUAGGGUCACUCAACAAGUGCGCAUCGCCUUUUCUAUCGGUAAGUAUCAAGACGAAGUUGUGUGCGACGUAAUGCCUAUUCAAGCCUGCCAUUUAUUGCUAGGAGAACCAUGGCAACUGGAUCGAAAAGUCACUCACGAUGGUCGUACCAAUAGGUAUUCUUUCAAGCAUCAAGGAAAGAAACUCACCUUAGUGCCGCUCACUUCGGAACAAGUCCAUGAGGACCAAAUCAAACUGAAAAAUUCUGUUAAAACAAGUGAGGAAAAAGAAAAAGAGAAUGAAAAAGAGCAAAAAGAGAUUGAGAGUGAAAAAGAAAUUGAAGAAAGAAGAGAAAAUGAAUUAGAAAAAGAAACAAAAGAAAAAGACGUGGAAAGGGUAGUGAGGAAUGUUUCCACUAACCAAGAUAUGAAUUUUUCUUGUGUUGCUACUUUUCAGGUUCCCGAAAGAUCGAAAGAUAACUUUCAACUUCAAUACCUCUCAAAUGAAAGACGCUUUCAUACGAUCAACUUAGGCAAAGAUGAAAUCACACUACAUGAUCCCGAAGGUAAGCGAGGUAAGGAAAUUUUAGAAACCGAGUCCAGUGCAGAUUUGAAAAUUAUUGAUAAAACUUUUGGUGACUUAGUUCUUAAAAGAUCCCCUCAUUUUGAUCCGAUUAAUUGUUACUCUUCGAUUGUGGUUGAUAAAGUCAUUACGAAAAGAAGCGUGAUUUGUUAUUCUCUUAAUUUACCUUGUGUAAAAUCCUUGAAUUUGUCCAAAUCUGUUUUGGAGAAUAAAGUAACGAAAUUUUCCAAAUUUGUUUUCAAUUUAUAUUCGUGCCUUAAACAGUUUAUGUGGUUGUACAUGAAGUUUGAGUUCCAUUUGACAAAGGUUAACUCAACAACGGAGAUUCGACUACACUAUGCCCCCGAUGAGCGAAGGUUUGUUUUAAAUGAAAAAGGUAAAAUCGACCCUUAUUCUUCUGCUUAUCGAGGUAAGAUGCUUGAAACCUUUGAAACACUUUUGUACUCCUCGGAUAGUGAUAAAGAUCGUGUUGAUGAACACUUAGAUCGAAACGUGCUUGACUGUCCUAUUUUAUUUAUUGAUGAUCUAUCUGUUUUGAUGGUUGAUAAAAAGAUUCUUGUUUUUGAUAAUGCAUGUGUGAGUGAAUCUAUAGACCGUCGAUUAAUGCAUGGUAUGAUUAUGCAACUCUGUGAACCAUGUGAAUCUUUUCAAAUACCUACUUGUGACGAUUAUGUUUACCAUUUGAUUUAUUACUCGCAAUUUAUUCAUGGUUUGUGGGAACAAUGUGAGACCACUGAAUGCCUUAAAACAUGUCCAUCUUUGUUUCAAAUAUUUGACGAGGCAGUGGUGAGUAAAUUAGAUUGUUUGCAUGGUAAUCUGAAUCUGUCCAUUCACAUGCGUUAUACCUGUUCUAUUAUGCUUAUGAUUGGACUACAAGCUUAUUUCCGUUGCUAUUUACUAUCUCAUGGCUAUUCUUCUCAGUGGACUCAAUUGCCAUUAGUCCCGUUCGAUAGAGGAAAGUCGAGUUCAUUUGAUUUUUCAGAUUCGAGGACGAAUCUUUUUGAGGAAGGGGGGAAUGAUACGAGUCACAAAAGCCCAAAUUCUUGAGGGCAAGGCCCAAUAAGAAGAUUCCAAGCCCAAUCAAGAAAUCCACCCAUACUUAGUUGAAAAUCAGGCCAAAUUGUCAAAGUGGCCCAAGUUGUAAAGUUUUAUUUUUAUUUAUUUAUUUAUUUUACUUAGUUUAAAUGUUUAUCCAAGAGUCCCAAAUAAAAGACCCUUGGCCGAAUUUCCAUAUUAAAAUAAUUAGGAGUUUUUUUUUUUAGUUUUAGUUUUAGUGUUCUAAUUAAAUUAGGAAAACAUUUGAAAGGCCUAUUUAUAUGGCUUGGCCAACCACCCUACAUUACAAUACAAUUACAUUGAAAAUUUCAGAUUUAAUUUGAGUGAAAAUUCUCUUUGAGUUCUUCAAGGAUUUUCUCUUGAGUUUUCUUUAGAAGUUGUUUUAACAAUCUUUUUGAUUGUGGGAGCCAUCUUCAACCUUCUUCUUGCCAUUGAUAUUCUUUGGAGGGGAGAUUAGAGCCGUUUGAAGGGAGUUGUGAGAUCUUUCGAGAUUUCAAGGCUUCUUAGGACUUAUCUUUUAAUUUCUUACUGUCAAUUCUUUCUUUAUUUCUACUUGUGCUGAAUCAUUAUCUAAUCUAUUUUCUGUUCUUAUUGUGUUUUCAGCCUUUUUCUAUCUUAAGGAAUCAGCCCAAAAAUCCCCAAUUUCUAGGGUUUUUCCAUACUCUUUUUGGGUGAAAUUAGAUUGUCGAAAUUUGGGGAAAACUAUCUUGGUGUUCAAUUGGGCAGAAUCACAAUCUCCUUGAGGGUUUCAAGAACCCUAACACUUAUUUCUAUUCUCAAUUUGAUUCUUUGCUGAUUUGGGGAUUUUAUUUCAGAUCUGAAAAUUCAAAAAUCUAAUCUUUUAAUUUUCUGUUUCGUUUCAGAUCUAAUUGUUUAGGGUUUUCGUAGGAGUUUCUCGUGACUUGGCAACUCGAUCUUGGUCCGCGCGCAACCCCGUAUCAGGUACAAUAAAGUUAAAUUUGCUAGAUUACAAAUUUCUUGGGGAAUAGGACCUUUUAAUAGAUUAGAACCAAGGGCUAAGUCGUGCAUCUUUGAUAAACUACCAACACAAGAAGGGAUUGAACCAGUCAAUUUGUUUUGGGAGAGGUACAAUGAAGUUAAAUUUGCUAGAUUACAAAUUUCUUGGGGAAUAGAACCUUGAAGUUGGUUAUUAU
rnacentral:lncRNA from 1 species